UACGGAGGAGGCAAGCGUUUAUCCGGAAUUAUUGGGCGUAAAGCGUCCGCAGGUGGCACCUCAAGUCUGCUGUCAAAGACCGGGGCUUAACCCCAGAAAGGCAGUGGAAACUGAAGUGCUAGAGUGCAGUAGGGGUAGAGGGAAUUCCCGGUGUAGCGGUGAAAUGCGUAGAGAUCGGGAAGAACAUCGGUGGCGAAAGCGCUCUGCUGGACUGCAACUGACACUCAGGGACGAAAGCUAGGGGAGCGAAUGGG
rnacentral:rRNA from 1 species